rnacentral:rRNA from 1 species
UACGGGGGGGGCAAGCGUUGUUCGGAAUUACUGGGCGUAAAGGGUUUGUAGGUGGCCCGCUAAGUCACACGUGAAAUCCCUCAGCUUAACUGGGGAACUGCGUGUGAGACUGGCAGGCUCGAGGGCAGGAGAGGAACGCGGAACUCCAGGUGUAGCGGUGAAAUGCGUAGAUAUCUGGAGGAACACCGGUGGCGAAGGCGGCGUUCUGGACUGUCUCUGACACUGAAGAACGAAAGCCAGGGGAGCAAACGGG